AUGAAUAAAACCUUUAAUGGUCAUACACCCAAUGAAAAUAGUUUGUUGGAUCUCGAUCGUAGUGAUACACAUAUUCAUAAUAUUGAUGCCAAAAGAUGCAAAGUUAAUAAUGAUAGUGCAACUUAUUUGUGGCACUGCCGUUUGGGUCAUAUCGGUGUAAAGCGCAUGAAGAAACUCCAUAAAGAUGGAUUUUCGGAAUCACUUGGUUAUGAAUCAUUUGAUGCUUGCAAACUGUGCCUUUUGGGCAAGAUUACUAAAACUCCAUUCUUCGGAACAAUGGAACGAGCUACUGACUUGUUGGGAAUAAUACAUACCGAUGUAUGUGAUCCAAUGAGUGUUGAUGCUCGUGGCAAGUAUCGUUAUUUUCUGACCUUCACAAGAUGA
rnacentral:rRNA from 1 species